AUCGAACGCUGGCGGCAGGCCUAAUACAUGCAAGUCGAGCGAGCGGCGGACGGGUGAGCAAUGUCUGGGAAACUGCCUGAUGGAGGGGGAUAACUAUUGGAAACGGUAGCUAAUACCGCAUACCAUCAGAUGUGCCAAGAUGGGAUUAGCUAGUAGGUGUGGUAACGGCCCACCUAGGCGACGAUCCCUAGCUGGUCUGAGAGGAUGACCAGCCACACUGGGACUGAGACACGGUCCAGACGCCUACGGGAGGCAGCAGUGGGGAAUAUUGCACAAUGGGCGCAAGCCUGAUGCAGCCAUGCCGCGUGUAUGAAGAAGGCCUUCGGGUUGUAAAGUACUUUCGGCAGAGAAGCGUUACCCGCAGAGAAAGCACCGGCUAACUCCGUGCCAGCAGCCGCGGUAAUUC
rnacentral:rRNA from 1 species